UCGGGAGUGCUCCAGUGGCAACGAGGGCGGACUGUAAAUUCGCUGUCUGAUGACUUCGUAGGUUCGAGUCCUACCUCCCGAA
rnacentral:tRNA from 2 species